AGUGUAGAUUCAGAGUUUGAUCCUGGCUCAGGACGAACGCUGGCGGCGUGCUUAACACAUGCAAGUCGAGCGAGGACAUUUAGCAAUAGAUGUUCGAGCGGCGGACGGGUGAGUAACGCGUGAGCAAUCUGUCCCAGACAGGGGAAUAACAGAUGGAAACAUCUGCUAAUACCGCAUAAGACCACGACCUGACAUCGGGUUGGGGUAAAAGGCGAAAGCCGGUUUGGGGUGAGCUCGCGUCCGAUUAGCUAGUUGGCGGGGUAACGGCCCACCAAGGCGACGAUUGGUAGCCGACCUGAGAGGGUGAUCGGCCACACUGGAACUGAGAAACGGUCCAG
rnacentral:rRNA from 1 species